rnacentral:lncRNA from 1 species
AUUCAUUUCAUUUGCUUCUCCAUGUGUCUUCUGUUUCUUAUUAAGUACAUGAACAUUGGUAUUCUUAAACCUUGCCAUUCUGUGCAGUUAUUGCGACGAUGCCUGGAUACAGAACGAAGAGCGCAUGUAUUGUACUAGGAGAAGCAGCAAUGACGAUAGAUUUUGUUCUUGAUCCUGAAACCACUCAUCCGGGCAGUCAACUGUUAGACGACUCUGAUUGUUACUUUGAGAACAAGACGAGUCUUAAAGUUCUCGAGCUUCUUCCUAUGGCCAAUUUAGAACUUUCUAUAAUCUUGAUUUUGAUUUUGAUAUUUCUUUGCUUCUUAAUGAACAGGAAAGUAAUAUCAAAUUAUCUAUACCAAAGACAAAGCAUAGGGCCAAAACGGCCGGCUGUUCUAUAAUUUCUUUGUUAUACAUCUGACAUAAAAAAUGUCCCAAGUUAUAAUUCAUUGGACCAUGCUACAUGUUCCUAAUGAUUUUUACUUAAUCUCUUACCGAAUACUCAUAAUAGGCGGUGGGACCUAAUUUUGGAAAUUUUUUUUAUUCACGCGAGUCCUACAGACACGAGGGAGGGGUAAACAAUUUGGUACAUGUACAAAUAGAAUUAUUCUAAUUCAUUUAUCUUGUGUUCGUUUGUGUAUAUUAUAUGAAUAGAUGAUUAGAUUUUUGUUCUUAUCAUAUUUUAUUCUAUUGAGGUCACGGCACAUUUAUG